UGGUGGGUAGUUUGACUGGGGCGGUCUCCUCCCAAAGCGUAACGGAGGAGCACGAAGGUGGGCUAAUCACGGUUGGACAUCGUGAGGUUAGUGCAAUGGCAUAAGCCCGCUUGACUGCGAGAAUGACAAUUCGAGCAGGUGCGAAAGCAGGUCAUAGUGAUCCGGUGGUUCUGAAUGGAAGGGCCAUCGCUCAACGGAUAAAAGGUACUCCGGGGAUAACAGGCUGAUACCGCCCAAGAGUUCAUAUCGACGGCGGUGUUUGGCACCUCGAUGUCGGCUCAUCACAUCCUGGGGCUGAAGUCGGUCCCAAGGGUAUGGCUGUUCGCCAUUUAAAGUGGUACGCGAGCUGGGUUUAGAACGUCGUGAGACAGUUCGGUCCCUAUCUGCCGUGGGCGUUGGAGAAUUGAAAGGGGCUGCUCCUAGUACGAGAGGACCGGAGUGGACGAACCUCUGGUGUUCGGGUUGUGUCGCCAGACGCAUUGCCCGGUAGCUAAGUUCGGGAUCGAUAACCGCUGAAAGCA
rnacentral:rRNA from 1 species